ensembl:ncRNA asRNA:CR46453 antisense RNA:CR46453
UAAAUACACAUUUAAUAUGGCGCUUGCUUGCGUGAUUUCUUCUCCUUCCUGGCCUUCAGUUUUUCACUGCUGAACGCCGUUCCACUUGCGUCCUGUGCCCAAACCGUAACAAUGCCGGAUUCUCCGCCUGUAAAAAGUAAACUUCUCUUUGAAUCGAAAAGACUAUCUCUGACGAUCUGCUUGUUUCCCUGGAAAUUGGCCAAUGGCUGGAGGCUGUUCUUCGAGGUAACGCUAACGGAGCGCAGGAUCUCGCUGAAAGAAGGUUAUUCAGUUGCUUGGGUAUUAGGCCAAAGUCAGUUAAUAACGAACCCCUUGUUGAAGUUGGUGCCCGCCAACAGAAAGACUCCUCCGUCUUCCUGAUUGUGGGCAUUUAUCAGGUUGAAGUUUGCGGCUUUUUUUCUCCUUAUUGCCGCCGUAACAUCCGGCCGCUCGAAGGAUGCCACCUCGUCGCCCUCCUCGCACUCGUAGCUCUUGAAAUCGCCAGUGGUCGUGACGCAGGAUAUGAUGUCCUUGUCGUAGACGUUUCUGUGCCACGCCAACCGGGCCACACUGCUCUCCGUGUUGAAGGUGUUAAGCAGUGCUUCAUCCUCGUCCGGCUCCUUCACAUCGAACACGUUUACUAGCCCGUCCACACUGCCCGUGGCCAGAAGGUCUGGAUUCUGGGCAUGGAACCGCAACGAGGUGAUAUCGUCCUCAUGGCUUUCGAAGUAGACGCCCAUUUGCUGGCGCUCCCGAACAUCGAAGAACACGAGGAACGCGUUGCUGUGAAACUGUUCGGUGCCGCAGCAAAUAAUCCGACCGUUGGCGUUUCUGUCGAAGCACGAAAGCGAUUUGGGCACCGGAGGCACAUUAGGGUGCUGCGUGUACUUGAACCGCGCCUGUUCGCCUCUUAGCCGCAGAUCGUAGAGGCGCACGUAGCCAUCGGUGGUGCCGACCAGGAUGUUGUGUGGUCCUUCGUCGAGGAAACGAACGCCACAGAUGCUUACGCUCUGCGGCGAAUCUGUGGGCGGCAGAUAGCUAAAGUUCUCCAGUUUCCCGGCGCCCGAAUCCAAAUUAUAGAUAUGCACUGCUGAAUUGGACAGUCCGGCGGCCAUCCGUGAGAAUCCUUGAUCUGCGGCCAGGCUAAGAACAUAUUCACGCUGCAAGGACACACUGACUUCGUCCUGCGGCUUGUACUUCAGCUGGAAUUCGGCGGCAAGAUCCUGUGCGCUACAAGUGUCCUCAUCGCCGAUGUCUUCCUCGUCUUCCGAGUCCGGAAGCGCUUCCCUCGCAGCUUCUGCAGGAUGUACGGAUUAAUCAGGCCGUCUUGGCAGGCUUAUAGCUAAUAAAACCUUCGCAAUAUUUGUUAAAGUCGCU